rnacentral:rRNA from 1 species
UGGCUCAUUAUAUAAGUUAUCGUUUAUUUGAUAGUACCUUACUACUUGGAUAACCGUGGUAAUUCUAGAGCUAAUACAUGCUGAAAAUCCCGACUUCGGAAGGGAUGUAUUUAUUAGAUUAAAAACCAAUGCCCUCUGGGCUCCUUGGUGAUUCAUAAUAACUUUUCGAAUCGCACGGCCUUGCGCCGGCGAUGGUUCAUUCAAAUUUCUUCCCUAUCAACUUUCGAUGUUUGGGUAUUGGCCAAACAUGGUUGCAACGGGUAACGGAGGGUUAGGGCUCGACCCCGGAGAAGGAGCCUGAGAAACGGCUACUACAUCCAAGGAAGGCAGCAGGCGCGCAAAUUACCCAAUCCCGAUUCGGGGAGGUAGUGACAAUAAAUACUGAUACAGGGCUCUUUUGGGUCUUGUAAUUGGAAUGAGUACAAUUUAAAUCUCUUAACGAGGAACAAUUGGAGGGCAAGUCUGGUGCCAGCAGCCGCGGUAAUUCCAGCUCCAAUAGCGUAUAUUAAAGUUGUUGUGGUUAAAAAGCUCGUAGUUGAACCUUGGGCCUGGCUGGCCGGUCCGCCUCACCGCGUGUACUGGUCCGGCCGGGCCUUUCCCUCUGUGGAACCUCAUGCCCUUCACUGGGUGUGGCGGGGAAACAGGACUUUUACUUUGAAAAAAUUAGAGUGCUCCAGGCAGGCCUAUGCUCGAAUACAUUAGCAUGGAAUAAUAAAAUAGGACGCGUGGUUCUAUUUUGUUGGUUUCUAGGACCGCCGUAAUGAUUAAUAGGGACAGUCGGGGGCAUCAGUAUUCAAUUGUCAGAGGUGAAAUUCUUAGAUUUAUUGAAGACUAACUACUGCGAAAGCAUUUGCCAAGGAUGUUUUCAUUAAUCAGGAACGAAAGUUAGGGGAUCGAAGACGAUCAGAUACCGUCGUAGUCUUAACCAUAAACUAUGCCGACUAGGGAUCGGACGAUGUUAUUUUUUNGACGCGUUCGGCACCUUACGAGAAAUCAAAGUGCUUGG